UAUGGUUUGGCUGUGUCCCCACCCAAAUUCCAUCUUGAAUUGUAGUUCCCAUAAUCCCCACUUGUCAUGGGAGGGACUUGGUGGGAGGUAAUUGAAUCAUGGGGGUGGUUUCCUCUAUGCUGUUAUUGUAAUAGUGAGUGAGUUCUCACAAGAUCUGAUGGUUUUAUAAGAGGCGUUCCCCUUCUGCUUGGCAUUCUCUCUCCUGCCGCCCUAUAAAGAAGGGCAUGUUUGUUUCCCCUUCUGCCAUGAUUGUAAGUUUCCUGAGGCUUCUAGCCCUGCAGACCUGCACAUCAAUCAAACUUCUUUCCUUUAUAAAUUACUCAGCCUUGGGUAUUUCUUCAUAGCAUCAUGGGAACAGACUAAUACAACCUCUCACUCAUGCCUCUGCUGAGGAAAGUUUUGUCUGAUUAAUGGAUGAGGGGAACAAGUUAGUCAACCUCUGUGACUCAUUACCUGGACCAUGGAUCAUGCUUUUUUCUCUGUUCCUGCUGCACUGUGACAAGAUAAUACUGCGAUGAAUAUUUUGUGACGUAUUUCCAUAUCCACAUAUAUGACAGCUUCUCUAGGUUGUGUGUCUCAGAAGAGAAAUAAUGUAUCAUAGAUUUUGGAAGAAGCACGAAAAUGAUUUACUGAUUUAGGAACUGGGUGGAGUAGACCACAAAAAGACAAAUCAAAAACAUCUGGAAUGAACUAGUUGAGAGAGAAAAAGAGAGAGCAAGAAAAAAAGCAGGAGCCGGCAAGAGGGAGCCUCAGCCAACACUACAUCAGAGGCACAUUGUGGAUGGAGGAAAUGAGUUUAGUCAAGCCAGCUGUGACUUCAAAGGGGCUGCUCUCCCAGAGAACAGUGAGAAAGGGUUCCCCCUUCAGUGAAGACUGCAAAGUUCAGCCAGCGCCAACCCAAAGGGAAUGGACUCCAGGAAGGGGCAAAUUACAUUCAACAUACAAGAAAGAAUAUUUUCCUUCAUGAAGUGGCUGUGACAGUCUGAAGAGGAAGGAAAAUGACAAAAAAGAAAGAAAACUACACAUUUCUUUCAAAUUACUUACUUCACACAAAUUUACUGAGGAACAAUAGGGUGGACCCUGCAUAUUCGAAGACAAGAUCGUCUGUGUUCCAGUUCAAAAGAAGAAGCUAGACACAUAAACUGAAGAUUAUGGUAUUGAGUGAUAAGCCUUGGAGCAGGAAUCCCAAAGUGUGAUCACAUGACCAGCAGCAGCAACAUCACCUGGGAACUUGUUAGAAAUGCAAAUUUGCAGGCCCUAAUCCAAAUCUACUGAAUAAGAAAGUUGAGGUUGAUUUAACAAGCCCUUCAAGUGAUUCAAUGCUUGCUAAAACUGGAGAACCACCUUGAUAGUGAAGGGACAAAAGGACUUUUGUGCAGAGAGCUAACACAUCUGAACUAACCUUGAGAUCCUCUGCCAUCUAUAAAUCACUUCUCAAUCUCUUCCCGAUAAGAUUCUAAAUAGGUGGCUCUCUGGCAAUUCAAGGGAUGAUACACGCGUGUGUGUCUUCUCUCUUUAUGUAAGUUAUAAGAUCUGAAUGACAGAGGCACAUUCUUCUUUUAUGUUUUCUUUCCUUUCUCCUCCUAUUUUUAGGGCCAGUACGUGGAAAAUGCGGAAAUUGGAACUUACUAUAAGUAACUAAUUCAGAAAUCAGGCUGGCAGAAGUGUUAUACAUUCACUGGAAGAAAUUGGUGAAUAUAUGGAAAACAUAAAUGUUAUGUAUCCUGGAACUUAAAAUAAAAAUUAAUAAUAAAAAAUGUUAUCUCUCCCAAGCACUCAUUUGAUGCUUGAAUCCUCUCUAUGACAUCCUUACCAAGGAUUUGUUCUUCUUAUGCUUGGGUACUUCAACUGAUGAGAAUCUCACUAGCUCAGGAUGCAGUUUGCUUUCUUUUAGAUAGCUCUGUUAGAGCUGCCUUCUUCCAGGGCUGAACACUUCCAUAAUUUAAAUUCCAUUUAUUAGUUUUAGUCCUGCCCCUUGGGAACUCGUAGCAAAGAUACUUACAUAUUAAUGUGACAUUUUUCAGGUACUUGAGGUUAGUAAUUAUGUAGCAUAUGACAUAGAUUAAACUCAUAGACUCUGGAAACAAACUACUUGCCUUCCCUUCAAAUUCUUAUUCUGCCACUUACUUACUAUGUGACCUCCAGAGAGUUAUUUACUAUCUCUGUAACUUUAUUUCUUUAUCUAUAUAAAAAGAUAUAAUAAUAGCAGUACAUCAAAGGGCUUUUAUAAGGAGUCCAUGAAUUAAUAUAUGUAGAUGUGCCUGGAACACGGUAAGUGCUCUAAAAGUUUUCACUAUUACUAAUCAUCAUCAUUAUUAUACAGAUCUUGUCAGAUAUCGGACCUAGGCCAUCUUUCUAAGUCUUUACUCAUUCAUUAAGUGAGCUCAUUCACUCCCAUGGCUUCAAUCACCAUCUAUAUGAUUAUGAAAAAUCUAUUUUCCUCCUGAGCCAAGAGCUAAAUGUAAGUGACCAGUUAUGGAUACAGGAAUUGCUCUGGCCACCAUAAUUUGGGUGGAAAUGGUGCAUACCACUUCCAGUUCUUGCCCCUUAAAAUACCAUGAGAAAUCUUGCACUCCUUUCUCCUAGUUCAUCAGCUAACUGAAUGCAGAGAAACCAGUGGAGGACUCCAAGGAAAUUCCAAAGAGUGGUUGAACCACGGGUUGGAAGAAGUCUAGAUCCCUGAGUCAAUGUUUGGAGAGGAGCUGCCGAGGAGAGCCACCAGAGAGGGACACAUGAGCAAGAAAUAAACAUUUCUUCUGUUAAAACAUUGAGAUUUUAUAGCCCAUCAUGACUAAUCCAAUGAGACCCUAGUGUAGAUCUUUUGCUUAGUCUUCGCUUCUGAGAUCUAGAACUAUAUAUUUCAUUUGCUAAUCACCAUUUCUACAUGAACCCUCAAAUAGGGUAAUAGGUAAACUCAGAGUUUCUAAGAUUAGACUGUGUUGAAAUCUUAGUCCUUCCAGGUACAGCUAUAUGACUCAAUGUGUGUGUGGGGGCGGGGGCAGGGGGGUUAAAUAAACUAUUCAUAACUGUAUCUACUUAAAAGUAAUAAGAAAAUGAAAUGAGCAUAUACAUAUAUAUAAAACAGUUAUCGGCACAUAGUAAAUGCUCAGUAAUUGUCAGGUAAUACAGUUAUUAUGACCAUCCCACUCCAAAUUUGCUCUUUCCCCAGGUUUUUUAUGUUGAUAAAUGGUACCACCAUCCAAUAGUUGUUAAAAUUAGAAAUUUGCAACUUUAUCUUGGAUCACUUUUUUUAUCCUCCCACAUGGAUAAAGUCAAUCAAUAACUGAUUGAUUACACUCCUUCAGUAUUUUUCAAAUCCAUUUGCUUAACUCUCUCCUCUUCUAUUCUACACUUUUCAUCCUAGUUAAAGCCACCAGCCUAUGUAACUUUAUUAUAUUUGCGUCCUUACUAGUCUUUUCAAAUCCAUCCUUGCACCCUCCCAAUUCAUGCUUUAUGUGGAAAUGUAGGCAUUUUUUAAAAAAUUCAAAUCAAAUCUUGCUGCUCAAAAUUUUAAAUGCAUCAACACCGAUUGCUCUUUGGUGCCACCACAUUCCUGACCCAUUACUUCAGCACCCCCUCAAACCCACCACAGGACUUUAUUUCUACAAUUCAGCCACACUGGACUUUUGUCGGUGUCAGAAAAGUGCCAUAGAUUGUCCCAUCUUUGAUGUUAUCAUGUGUUGGUUACUUUUGCUUAGAAUAAACUUUCUCCCCAUCCCAGUUUACCUAAUUAAUUCCUGACCACUCUUUACAUUUCUGCUUAAAUGCUAUACUCUCCAGAAAGCCCUCUUAGCAAUCUCUGCCCACACUUCUUAAAGCUAUGCCUACAUAGCCCCCACCUUAUUUCUUCAUUAAACUCUUUGCACUUGCCAUUAUUUGUAUAAUUAUGUUUUCCCAGCUAACCAGGAGACUUUGUGAGGGCAGAGACCUCAUAUGUAUGGCUCACUGCCUGGUAUAGACAGUAUAUUGGCUUAUACGAAGGAGGAGUUUAUUAAAUACAGUAAAUUUUUUUAAGUGUGAAUAUGAGUCUGUUAAAUGACUGUGUGUAUAUGUACCCAAUGUAAAGUUUUAUUUGGUUCGGUCUAGAAAAAUGUCCUACAGCCAAUUCAUGUACCUAAUUAAAUUCACUUACAAAUUUAGGAAACUCAGCACCUGCCCUAUUUGAGUUUAAAACUAGUUGAUUUGAUAGACAUAUAAAAUAAAAACUAUACUAUAGUAUCAUCCAUGCUGUCAUAAUAGAAUUAUCUCAAAACCUCCAUUGAUGUACUAUUUGGG
rnacentral:lncRNA from 1 species